rnacentral:rRNA from 1 species
UAUCUCUGUAGAGUCUGCAUAUCAAUAAGCGGAGGAAAAGAAACUAACAAGGAUUCCCUUAGUAAUGGCGAGUGAAGCGGGAAGAGCUCAAAUUUGAAAUCUUAAAGGUUUUACCUUGACGAAUUGUAGGUUUAAAGAAGUGUUUUCUGUUGAAGUUUCGGUAAAAGUUCUUUGGAAUAGGACAUCAUAGAGGGUGAGAAUCCCGUAUUUGACCGUUAUUUUCAGCUGUGUGAUACACUUUCAAAGAGUCGGAUUGUUUGGGAAUGCAGUCCAAAAUGGGUGGUAAAUUUCAUCUAAAGCUAAAUAUUGGCGAGAGACCGAUAGCGAACAAGUACCGUGAGGGAAAGAUGAAAAGAACUUUGAAAAGAGAGUUAAACAGUACGUGAAAUUGUCAAAAGGGAAGCGUUUGACACCAGUGUUGUUUUCUCGAAAAUCAAUUAAAAAUAGAUUUGAUUUUGUGUUGUAUUGACCUUAAAAGCUUUCUUCACUUUUUUCAUGUUUAUUUUUAAUGCACUUUUCGUUUAACAAGUCAACAUCAGUUUCUUUUGUUGUAAAAAGGUCAUUGGAAGGUGGCUUUCUUUUCGGAGAAAGUGUUUAUAGCCUUUGACUCCUGCAAUCGGAGAGACUGAGGUCUGCAGCGUAGAUCCUUCUGGAUUAGAUUCAUUUGUGCUAAGUUAUAGCUUUUCAUAGACAACUUGUUGACUAUGUUUAGUCAUGUAGCUUACUCGCUUAUGUAAUUUUACCUACGCUUAGGAUGUUGAUCUCUCACAGUCGAGC